AUGAUGGAGCAUAAUGGUUUGACACCCGAUGAACAAUCAUACACUGUCUUAACUGGUGCACUAUGCAAAGCUGGAAGGCGUGAGGAAGCUUAUUCAUUUCUUGUUAGAAAAGGAGUACCCCUAACAAAGAUACAGUAUACUACUUUAAUUGAUGGUUUCAGCAAGGCAGGCAAUAGUGACAUUGCUGCCGCCCUCAUAGAGAGCAUGGUCAGUGAGGGAUGCACACCAGAUAAGUACACAUAUAGUGUACUGUUGCAUGCUUUAUGCAAACAAAAGAAGUUGCGGGAAGCUUUUCCGAUACUGGAUCAGAUGACUCAAAGGGGAAUAAAAUGUACCACUGUUGCUUAUACAACUCUAAUGAACGAAAUGCUCAGAGAAGGGAAGGAAGACCGUGCUAAAAGGAUGUUCGAUGAAAUGGUUUCAUAA
rnacentral:rRNA from 1 species